GUGGAUGGUAAAUUAUAUGCUCUCCUUGAAUUUGAAGGAUGAAUAGUGACUCUGAAUGAAGCCAGGGAUGUAAAUAGACCAUCAAGGCAUUCCAUUUUGCUAAGGUCACAGAACCCACUAGGUGCCAUGGGACAUUCAACAAAGCAAAGAGCCUUGGAGGGAUGGAGAUGUAGCUUCGAAUUUGAACUCCAUCUCUGACAAGCUGCCUAACCAGUGGAUCUCCAAACUUUGGUGUCCUUUCCUACAAACUGAGCACUGUAACACCCACGUCACUGAACCAUGACCUGAAUGUCCCCAGCAGAGAGAAGAGCUGAAGCAUCCGCUCUCGGCUCUGAUGUCGCCACACCUUGGUGGUGGUGGUGGUGGCGGCGGUGGUGGUGACUGUGAUGGGCUCAGAAGCUGGGGGCCAAUGACCUCGGGGCAAGUCCAGCUGGGCUCCUGGGAGAAGCCAGAUCCAAAGGCAGGUCUGCGAAGUGAAGGUCAGCCCUGAGCUGACCACAGGACCACAGGGCCCGGGCCCAGCUGGGGAAAACACCAGGCCACCACACCUAAUGGGCCUGUCCCAACCGCCCUGCCCUUGCACUGCGACAGCACUGCUCCUUGGUGCCCGGCCCCCGGCUGGCGGCUGUGGUGACCCAAGCAGAGCCUGCAAGGACACUGUCCCGGAGACCCUCAGGGGCUCACCGGAGAGGCUGAGGGACUAUCGCCUAAGGCAACACAACACGAUGGCGCGUGAUGACAACGAAAGCUCAUCGGCUCAUUUGAGGAUUAAAUUAGUUGUAGUGAGUCCUUAAAAAAAGUCAACAAUUAUUCUUACGACAACUUUAGCAUGUUAGAAGCGGCAAGGAGGCUCAGGGUCCUGUCCUGGGGGUGGGAUGGCGUGGUGGGAAGGGGCCGGGGGUGUCUGAUUGGCAUCACGUGCCUCUAAGCCCAUGUGUAUCCUCAUCACAUAAACAGAUACUUUCCUCUCCCUGCCGUGCGCCGGGAUCCAUGCUAGGCUCUGCCUUGGGGAGACCCCAGAGACGUGUUAAGACCCCAUCCCUGCCCCACCAAAAUCUUGUAGGGCUGGAAAGAAAGAGGACGCUGUGUGAAGCGUGCAGCAGUCUCCAGCAUCACAAGCUCCUGGACCUCCCAGAGCCUCUGUUUCCCCAGCUGGACCUAUAUCCCUGGUAUCAGAACCCUCUCUGUCCUACAGGGCUUCUGUGUGGAUGAAACAAGACUGUCUACGCAGAGUGGUUAGUAGAGCUCCCAGGCCAUUGUAGGAGCCCAGUCGGUGGGUGGAUACGUGAUGUGGAUGAGGGAGCCCCUUGGAGGCAGCACGGGAAGGUGACAUGGGGUCGGGGCAUGAGCAGGGAUGAGUCCAGAAGGCCGAGGCAUCCGCAGGAAGACAACUGGCGAGGAGGUGUGAGAUGGUGCGGCGUUCUUGGAAAGUAGUGGCAGCUCGGGAUGAAGGCCACGUUCCUUCUAGGGCAUCUAGACGUGGCUGGGAAGGUAAGGAGUCGCUUCAUGGGUUUCGAGGACCUCGAAUGCCGAUGUAAGGAAUAUAGAUUUUGUCUCGCAGGCCAGUGGUUUUCAAUUCUCCCUCCCUCCUUCUCUUCCUUUCCCUUCCCUUCCCUUCCCUUCCCUUCCCUUCCCUU